AGAGUUUGAUCCUGGCUCAGAACGAACGCUGGCGGCAUGCCUAACACAUGCAAGUCGAACGAAGGCUUCGGCCUUAGUGGCGCACGGGUGCGUAACGCGUGGAAUCUGCCCUUAGGUUCGGAAUAACAGCUGGAAACGGCUGCUAAUACCGGAUGAUGACGAAAGUCCAAAGAUUUAUCGCCUGAGGAUGAGCCCGCGUUGGAUUAGGUAGUUGGUGGGGUAAAGGCCUACCAAGCCGACGAUCCAUAGCUGGUCUGAGAGGAUGAUCAGCCACACUGGGACUGAGACACGGCCCAGACUCCUACGGGAGGCAGCAGUGGGGAAUAUUGGACAAUGGGCGAAAGCCUGAUCCAGCAAUGCCGCGUGAGUGAUGAAGGCCCUAGGGUUGUAAAGCUCUUUUACCCGGGAAGAUAAUGACUGUACCGGGAGAAUAAGCCCCGGCUAACUCCGUGCCAGCAGCCGCGGUAAUACGGAGGGGGCUAGCGUUGUUCGGAAUUACUGGGCGUAAAGCGCACGUAGGCGGCUUUGUAAGUCAGAGGUGAAAGCCUGGAGCUCAACUCCAGAGCUGCCUUUGAGACUGCAUCGCUUGAAUCCAGGAGAGGUCAGUGGAAUUCCGAGUGUAGAGGUGAAAUUCGUAGAUAUUCGGAAGAACACCAGUGGCGAAGGCGGCUGACUG
rnacentral:rRNA from 1 species